CCUACGGGUAGCAGCAGUGAGGAAUAUUGGUCAAUGGCCGGAAGGCUGAACCAGCCAAGCCGCGUGAAGGACGAAGGUGCCAAGCAUUGUAUACUUCUUUUGUCAAGGGACAAAAUCAGGCUCGAGAGCCUGACAGAGGUUACUUGAAGAAAAAGCAUCGGCUAACGCCGGACAAGCCGCCGCGGUAGUACGGGGGAUGGGAACGUUAUCCGGAUUUAUGGGGUUUAAAGGGUGCGUAGGCGGGCGGUUAGGUCAGCGGUAAAGGCCCGGGGCUCAACCCCGGCGAGCCGUUGAAACUGGCUGUCUUGAGAUGUCGAGAGGUAUGCGGAAUGCGCGGUGUAGCGGUGAAAUGCUUAGAUAUUGCGCAGAACUCCGAUUGCGAAGGCAGCAUACCGGCGGCGAUCUGACGCUGAGGCACGAAAGCGUGGGUAUCGAACAGGAUUAGAUACCCGGGUAGUC
rnacentral:rRNA from 1 species